rnacentral:rRNA from 1 species
GUGCGAACGUUGUUCGGAAUCACUGGGCUUAAAGGGCGCGUAGGCGGACUGCCAAGUCCGGGGUGAAAUCCUCCGGCUUAACCGGAGAAUUGCCUGGGAUACUGGCGGUCUUGAGGGAGGUAGGGGCACGCGGAACUUCCGGUGGAGCGGUGAAAUGCGUUGAUAUCGGAAGGAACGCCGGUGGCGAAAGCGGCGUGCUGGCCCUCGUCUGACGCUGAGGCGCGAAAGCCAGGGGAGCGAACGGG